GCGGGCGGGGUGCUAUACAUGCAGUCGAGCGGAUUGAUGGGAGCUUGCUCCCUGAUAUCAGCGGCGGACGGGUGAGUAACACGUGGGCAACCUGCCUGUAAGACUGGGAUAACUCCGGGAAACCGGGGCUAAUACCGGAUAAUUCCUUCCUCCUCCUGGAGGAAGGCUGAAAGAUGGUUUCGGCUAUCACUUACAGAUGGGCCCGCGGCGCAUUAGCUAGUUGGUGAGGUAACGGCUCACCAAGGCCACGAUGCGUAGCCGACCUGAGAGGGUGAUCGGCCACACUGGGACUGAGACACGGCCCAGACUCCUACGGGAGGCAGCAGUAGGGAAUCUUCCGCAAUGGACGAAAGUCUGACGGAGCAACGCCGCGUGAGUGAAGAAGGUUUUCGGAUCGUAAAACUCUGUUGUUAGGGAAGAACAAGUGCGAGAGUAACUGCUCGCACCUUGACGGUACCUAACCAGAAAGCCACGGCUAACUACGUGCCAGCAGCCGCGGUAAUACGUAGGUGGCAAGCGUUGUCCGGAAUUAUUGGGCGUAAAGCGCGCGCAGGCGGUUCCUUAAGUCUGAUGUGAAAGCCCACGGCUCAACCGUGGAGGGUCAUUGGAAACUGGGGAACUUGAGUGCAGAAGAGAAGAGCGGAAUUCCACGUGUAGCGGUGAAAUGCGUAGAGAUGUGGAGGAACACCAGUGGCGAAGGCGGCUCUUUGGUCUGUAACUGACGCUGAGGCGCGAAAGCGUGGGGAGCAAACAGGAUUAGAUACCCUGGUAGUCCACGCCGUAAACGAUGAGUGCUAAGUGUUAGAGGGUUUCCGCCCUUUAGUGCUGCAGCUAACGCAUUAAGCACUCCGCCUGGGAGUACGGCCGCAAGGCUGAAACUCAAAGGAAUUGACGGGGGCCCGCACAAGCGGUGUAGCAUGUGGUUUAAUUCGAUGCAACGCGAAGAACCUUACCAGGUCUUGACAUCCUCUGACUACCCUAGAGAUAGGGCGUCCCCUUCGGGGGACAGAGUGACAGGUUGUUGCAUG
rnacentral:rRNA from 1 species